AUUGAACGCUGGCGGCAGGCCUAACACAUGCAAGUCGAACGAGUGGCGGACGGGAGAGUAAUGUCUGGGAAACUGCUCGAUGGAGGGGGAUAACUACUGGAAAAAGUAGCUAAUACCGCAUACCAUCGGAUGUGCCCAGAUGGGAUUAGCUAGUAGGUGGGGUAACGGUUCACCUAGGGGACGAUGCCUAGCGGGUCUGUGAGGAUGGCCAGCCACACUGGAACUGAGACACGGGCCAGACCCCUACGGGAGGCAGCAGUGGGGAAUAUUGCACAAUGGGCGCAAGCCUGAUGCAGCCCUGCCGCGUGUAUGAAGAAGGCCUUCGGGUUGUAAAGUACUUUCGGCGAGGAGGCGUUACUCGCAGAAGAAGCACCGGCUAACUCCGUGCCAGCAGCCGCGGUAAUA
rnacentral:rRNA from 1 species